UAAACAUGGUUUUUUGGAAUAUAUUUAAGGUCGGCCCUGCUCAAUGAAUUUAAUUUAAAUAGCCGCGGUAAUUUAACUGUGCAAAGGUAGCAUAAUAAUUAGUCUUUUAAUUGAGGUCUGGAAUGAAUGGGUUGACGAGGAAAAUACUUUAUUGGGAUAAUUUUUUUUAAUUUAAUUUYUAAGUUAAAAAGCUUAGUUGGUUAAUUGGGACGAUAAGACCCUAUAGAUCUUUAUUUUUUUUUUUUAUAUGUAUUUUUGUUGUAUAUAUAUUUAUAAAAAUUAAAAAAUUUUGCUGGGGUGGUGAAUAAAAUUUUUAACUUUAAUUUUUUGUAACAUUAAUUUUUGUGUUUAUUGAGCCUUAAUUUUGGAUUCAAAGAUUUAGAUACCUUAGGGAUAACAGCGUAAUAUAUUUGGAGAGUUCAAAUUGAUAAGUAUGUUUGCGACCUCGAUGUUGGAUUAAAAUUAAUUGUGGGGUAGGUUUUACAAUGUUGGGUCUGUUCAACCUUUAAAAUUUUACAUGAUCUG
rnacentral:rRNA from 1 species